rnacentral:rRNA from 1 species
GACGAACGCUGGCGGCGUGCCUAAUACAUGCAAGUAGAACGCUGAAGGAGGAGCUUGCUUCUCCGGAUGAGUUGCGAACGGGUGAGUAACGCGUAGGUAAUCUGCCUGGUAGCGGGGGAUAACUAUUGGAAACGAUAGCUAAUACCGCAUAAGAGUAGAUGUCGCAUGACAUUUGCUUAAAAGGUGCAACUGCACCACUACCAGAUGGACCUGCGUUGUAUUAGCUAGUUGGUGAGGUAACGGCUCACCAAGGCAACGAUACAUAGCCGACCUGAGAGGGUGAUCGGCCACACUGGGACUGAGACACGGCCCAGACUCCUACGGGAGGCAGCAGUAGGGAAUCUUCGGCAAUGGACGGAAGUCUGACCGAGCAACGCCGCGUGAGUGAAGAAGGUUUUCGGAUCGUAAAGCUCUGUUGUAAGAGAAGAACGAGUGUGAGAGUGGAAAGUUCACACUGUGACGGUAGCUUACCAGAAAGGGGCGGCUAACUACGUG